rnacentral:lncRNA from 1 species
AUAUUAGAUAUGUAUAUACUAUUAUAUGUAAUAACUUCAUGAACAAUGUGGAAAUUUCUAAAUCUUCAAGAUUUGUAGAAAGCACAUAGUGUUUUGUUUUAUGCUCAUAAUGCAAUAAAGAUACUAGAAUGAUGAAGAAUAUUAAUAUGAUUAUAGAAAGACAUGCAUAUUGGAUUGGUGUGCCGAAUGCUUCUCACAGGUGUGAAUGGGGGUGGAAUCACCGGCUGAGCCUCACAGGGUCUUGUGGCGUUGACGGCUUCCGAGAUGCCCCUCUCCUCCGCAACCCUAACCCUACUCUGCUCUGCCUUCGUCCUCCUCCGCUCCUUUGCCUUUCCCCCGCCCUCCUCAUCUUCCUUCGUCUUCAUUCCUCUCGUGACUCUCGCCACGCCCUUCCUUCCCCAUGCCUGCAAUCUAACGCAUCACUGCCAUCUCCACCACCACGCCACUUGCACUGGAACCCGCCCCUUCCCUCGCCUUCCGUUUCUCUGCCUGCCUGCCUCCCUCCCUCCCAGGUAUGUAUGUUUGCUCUUCUCACCUUUCUUCUCUUGCUCUUUCGAUCUUUGUUUCUGCACAGUGCUCCCUCCUCCAGUGCGGCAAUCCGGAUCUCACAAUUCCCAUCCAAAUCUGCUUUCUCAUUCCAUCUCAUAUCCAUCGUCUGUUAACUCCUUUACACUCCUCCACUUGCCUGAUUUCAUGGCGUUCUGGGGAUCUCUUUGCAGCCCCGGGUUGGUGUGCCGCAUGCUUCUCAAUUUUGAUUGUUCCCAAUUCUUAGGUCCAACUUUGCAAAUUCAUAUUCUUAGGUCCAGUUCAAACUUAAGUUACCGUAGGCUGAUCUGUUAUCUCAUCAGCAAUUCGUUUCUAGUUAGGAGGGUCUGCAUGCAAUUUUUUUUAAUUUUUUGCGAAUGUUCCUUUUUUUUUUUAUCGGGAACGAGGGUCUAUCGAUCUGUACCGUGUCACUUUCGUUGCUGUGGUUAACUGUAUGUUUGUCAAGUACAUGCCUAUAGCUGUAUGUUUGAAACGGAGAAUAUUUUUCAGAAUUCGAUAUCCAAUCACAUGCAUGGUUUUCAGACUGUUUGGAAUGUAAUAUGAAUUUCCGCCCUUCUUUGUGCUCUACAUAGCGGCCAAAAGUUGUGUUAAUUUACGUUCUGGAUGACUGUGCAGUCAUGGAAUAGAUCCCCAGGCUGCCUUUCUCAUAGCAGAAGCCUUGUUCUUUGCGUGGUGGAUGUGUGGCAUAUACGCAGGCUUAUUUCGGCAAGAGUUACAAAGGAGAUACCACCUCCAGGUCAAUUAUUUUCAUACAAUCUUGUUUUUAGUUCUGUGUGUAAAUCGAUUGUUUAUGAUGAAUCCAUGACACGUAUUUUACCAUCCUAAUGCUUUGGGGGAUGGGUAGUAUAUGCACAAUUUCCAGGUAGUAUAUCCCGUUGUCAAAGAACUGAGUAUGACAUAAACACGGCUAGUGGCUGAUUUGUAUAAUGUGCCAUUGCUGCAGAACUGUCCAUGCGAACCGUGUACCGUCCAUUGCUGUUUGCACUGGUAUGCACUAUGUCAGGAUGCAGGCACGUUUAUCGGACAACGUGGUGAUGCCCAUGACUGUUAUCAAUCCUCCGCCUUAGCAACAGAUUAAUUUUGAAGAAUCCGCAACAGCAAGCGACUCGAAGCCUGCCCAGAUACAAGAUACAGGCUUCAUAACGAUCUAUAUUCUGAGCUGGUGAUAUUGAAUCUUAAUCCUUUAUGAGGUAGGAGCUCAGUUCAACAAGAAUUGCUUAUCGUGCUUGAUAUCCAAUUCAAUUGGUGCACCUUCCUCCCCAUAUUGAUCGAAACAACUAUGUAGUUUGUUUGGAAUAAUAGGAGAAAAUCAACUUAGGUGACGGUUAAACCAUUUACAUCCUGAAAUUUCAAGCCUUACAGGCCUCAUAAUUCAUUGGGUUGAAAAAUAGUGUUUGAAUGGUUUUCUAAUUACCUCAAUCCCUUGUGCAUUCUCUUCAAGUACCCUUUAUAAGUUGGGUUAAAUGACAACAAGCAACUAGUAAGCAACUAGUAAGAAACGCAUCAUUUGCAUUUGGAAUGGGUACGCCAACUCGUAUUACAUUUAAUUUUCUAUCCUACAAAUUGAAUUUAUAUUUCUAAAGCUAAACCAUCAAUCUUAAAUAAUUCAAUUAAGCAAGUGAACAUAUAUAUCAACAUUUUGAAUAUUGUGAGGACAAGCCAUUAGGAUUAUUUAAGAUUGAUGGUUUAGCUUUAGAAAUAUAAAUUCAAUUUGUAGGAUAGAAAAUUGUAUGGUUUGUGGGAUAAUAUGGUUGAAAGAGUGAUUAGGAUUAUUUAAGAUUGAUGGUUUAGCUUUAGAAAUAUAAAUUCAAUUUUUAGGAUAGAAAAUUGUAUGGUUUGUGGGAUAAUAUGGUUGAAAGAGUGUUUGAUAAGUACUUUUGAAAUACCAAACAAAUCUAACAUAUAAUUUUCAACAGGUGGUGAGAAGGUGAAAUUGGAUCUGAUUUUCAUUAAUUCAUCAUGGAAUAUCUUUUGGAAUUAUUCAAGCAUCAUAUAAUCAUGAUUUGGAGCUUUUUAUAUGGUUUUUUCAUGUCAAGAUUUUCAAGCACCAUAGAAAAACAUGACAAAAUAUCAAGUAUGCAAGGUAUUUUUGGAGAUACUUGGGAAGGAUCUGAAGUUUAUAUUGGAGCAUUUGAGGUUUUAUUAAACAAAAAUAACUUAUUGAAUAAAAACCAAUGUGCACAUUUGUGUAAGAAAAUUGGACAUGUUACUAAGGUUUUUGACCACCUAAUGACUUGCACCAAUGGUGGAUUGGAGUUUAGGCUUUUAAUGAGUGAGUUGUUUUUUAUACUAACUAAAUCUUAUUUUUUAGUUGAAAAUUGUGGGAAACCAAAUUGGUGUAAAGAAGCUAUCCUUCAAUUAAAUAACAAAGAGACUUUUAGAGAAUUACUUUUGGAUUUGAAAUGUUGUUGUGAUAUAGCAAGUGAUAUACUUUUAAAGAAUUAUUCUAAAAAACUUGAAGACAUCUCAUUUGCUACUUUUAAUGUUGCAACAUAUGAAGAAGUAGAAGGUGAUGUUAAAGUUGUACAUGAGAGGUUGAUUCAUGCAAAUGGAAUAGAUGAUUUUGAAUAUUGUGGACUAGCAAAGCAUCUAUUAAAGAGAUUAGAAGAUUUACUUUAUAUAGAUGAUGAGGAAUUGGAUGAUUUAAAUCUAUCAUCUAACAUAGAGAGUCUUCAAUUCAUAAAUAGAAUAAGUGAAGGAAGUUUUGGAGCGGUUUAUGAAUCAAAGUGGUUGGGAGUUUUAUGUGCAAUCAAAAAGAUGGAUGUUGCAUUUAACAAGUUUUUUAAAAGAGAAGUGACCAUUUUAGCCAAUUUAUGCCACCCCAACUUGAUAACAUAUUAUUUUGCAAUGAAAGGUCAUGCAAAUGAAAGUGGUGAAUCUUUUGAGUUAGUAGUUAAAAAAGACUAUUUGUAUAUUGGCAUGGAAUUGAUGCAAACAAAUUUAAAUGACAUGUUGGAAAAUACAAAGCAAACAUCUUAUGUUUUUCUUAUUGAUAUUAUAUAUCAAAUUGCAAAAGGGAUGUGUUACUUGCAUGACAUGCACAUUGCACAUCGUGAUUUAAAACCUCAAAACAUUUUGGUUAAUGUCAUAGAGAUAAAAGUUAUGAAUAAGGUUAUUCAACAUGCUAUUGUGAAAGUGAUAGAUUUUGGAAUAUCUAAGAUUGAAGUUGGAAGUAAUCCAGAAACCACAAAGAAUGAAGUACCUUAUGGUACUGUUGCAUAUAUGGCCCCUGAGGUAUUGAAAAGCAAGUUUGAAACAACAACAAUGUGUCCUUUUGAAGCAGAUGUUUAUUCAUUUGCAAUAGUAUGCUCUAAGAUUCUUUCAAAAAGAGACCCAUUUGAUGGUGUUUAUAAGAUGGAAGCAAUAUUAGAAAGAAUUGAAAAAGGUGAAAGACCAAAGUUACCUUCAAAUUGUAAUGAGUUGAUUGAGCUUAUCCAAGAGUGUUGGAUGUUGAAUCCUUUGCAUCGGCCAAAGUUUGCAAAUAUUUGUAAAAGAUUGGACUUAAUAAAGAAAAAGUUUUUAGUUGGAAUUGAAGUGGCAAAUGCACCAUAUUUUGGAGAAUCAAAUAAGAAUUGUCAUCAAAGCAAAAGAUUUCAGCUAAUACAUAAUGGAUUGCCAUUGGUAAGACUUAUACUAGAAACCAAAGUAAAUAUGUCUUUGAUUAAAUGUAUUAAUUAUUAUUUAUAGUUUUUUUCUCACUCUUCUUUAAAUUAAUGGUGUUUACAUGCCUUUGUAUGAACUCAAGUUAGUAAGACUAAAUUAAAAUGUAAUAUAUGUAUCAUUCUUAUUUUUUUUGUUAAUUUGUGGUUAAAUUUGUUAAUUGUAGGUUGAAUCAUCUGGAGAGGAAAUAUUUGGUAGAGCACAAUAUUUAUCCCAAAUUAGAAAACUAUGUGCAAAUAAAGUGAAGGUAUUGUAUCUUGUCGGAAUGGGUGGAAUAGGCAAGACCACAAUAGCAAAGACUACAUUGAUUAAUGUAAAAAACAUGUAUAAUGCCUCAUGCUUUGUUGAGUGCAUUGAAAGUGGAGGUGAUUGCUAUACAACUUCUUGCAAUAUCUUAGAACAAUUUCAAGUCAAAGAAAAACCAAAAGAUGUAAAAGAAGCUCAUAAAAUAUUAAAAUCAUUUUUAACUAAGAACAAAAUAAUUUUGGUGUUUGACAAUAUAAAGAAUCAAAGUCAAAUUGAAGAUGUUGUGCCUAUGGAUGACAUAUUUGCUAGCAUUGGUAGCACAUUGAUUGCAACAACUCGAGAUUCAAAUGUAAUGAAGGAUUGUGGCAAAGAGAUUCAUAAAAUAAAUAUUGAAGAACUUGAUGAAGAAACAAGUAUGAAGAUGUUUAUUACUCAUUCAUGUGGCCAAGAAAGUCUACCUAUUGAACUCAUUGAGGUUGGCAAAAGAAUUGUAAGAGCUUGUAAUGGCCUACCAUUGAGUCUAAAAGUUAUGGGAGCAUUUUUAAGAGAGAAGAAAAGGUUGAGAUGUUGGGAGCGAGCUUUACAAAAGUUGAAAAGGGGAAGAAAGUUGGAUGGAGAUGAAAACAAUAGUAACUACAAGAUUUGGAAGAUAUUAAGAGUAAGCUUUGACAAUUUGAAAGUAGAAGAAAAGAAAAUGUUUUUGGACAUAUGUUGUUUCUUUUGUAAUGAUGUUUGUCCACAAGGCAUGUCAAAAGGAAGAGCUUUGCGAAUAUGGAUCAAUAAUCAAAAAAACAUAUUAGAACAUGAAAUAGAAUUUACUUUAAAUGCAUUGAUUUAUCAAUCAUUGAUAAAAUUAGACAAAGAUGGAAUUAUAAGAGUACAUGAUCAACUACGAGACAUGGGUAGGAAUAUUGUUGAAGAAGAAAUGGAGUAUAAAUAUACAAGAAUGUGGAACUUGAAUAUAGAUCCAUUUUAUGGAUUAUCAAACAAGGUAAUUUUACUAAAUUAUUAUAUAAAUUACAUGUAGAAAAUUGAUAAUAAUAUAAAUGAAUCAACAUUUAAAGAAUAGAAUUUUCAGUUUUUAUAUUAUGUAAUUUUUAUUUUGUUUCUUUAGAUGUAUGUUGAUGUAAAAUUAUUGUGUAAAAAAAAUAAUCUUCUAUUGUAAUUAGAUUUGUAUGUAUAUUAAGUGUAUGAUUAAUAUGAAAAUUCUAAUAUUUUGUGUACUUAAUUAUGUUGAUUUACAGUUGGAGGGAUUAUUUUACAACAACAUAAUUAACAAUAAUAUUGGCAAAAUAAGAAGUGCUUCUUUUUCAUCACUUCAAUUUUUAAGUUGUAAUAUUGGUGUCUUUGCACCUAAAAUUGUGAUAAAGAUAUUAACCAUAUUUUUUGUGUUGGUAAAGAAUUCUCUUAAUUUGAGAUGUUUUCUACUUAACAUACCAUUGGAAUAUAAAUUUAAAAAAGAAGAAGCACAUAAAGCAUUGCAAAUGCUACAUGACAAAGAUGUUUGGAAAAAAUUUGGGAGUUUAAAUGUGUUGCAAUUGAGAAAUUGUUCUUUUAUAGAAACACUUCCAAAUUUAUUUUAUAAAAUUACCACAUUAUUAGAACUUGACUUAGGAGAAUGCUCAAACUUAACUAUGCUACCAAAUGAAUUGGAGUAUAUGACUUCUUUAAAGAUACUUAACUUACAAUAUUGUGAAAGGUUAAAAUUAUUACCAACAUCAAUAGGAAGUCUUAUUUCUUUAAAAGAUCUUAAUAUUGAAAAUUGCCAAAGCUUGACAUCAUUGCCAAAUGAAUUGGGCAACCUCACAUCUUUGACUUCCUUAAAUAUGAAGGGGUGCUCAAGCCUGACAUCAUUGCCAAAUGAAUUGGGCAACCUCACAUCUUUGACUACCUUAAAUAUUAGUUGGUGCUUAAGCUUGACAUCAUUACCAAAUGAAUUGGGGAACCACUCAUCUUUGACUACCUUAAAUUUGGAGAGGUGCUCAAGGUUGACAUCAUUGCCAAAUGAAUUGGGCAACCUCACAUCUUUGACUACCUUAAAUAUGAGGAGGUGCUCAAGCUUGACAUCAUUGCCAAAUGAAUUGGGCAACCUCUCAUCUUUGACUACCUUAGAUAUUAGUUGGUGCUCAAGCUUGACAUCAUUGCCAAAUAAAUUGGGGAACCACUCAUCUUUGACUACCUUGAAUAUGGAGGUUUAUAUCUCCAAUCAUUUUUAAUCAUAAAAUUAAUAAUAAUUAAUAAUAAUUUUUAAUAAAUAAAAUUAAACAUAGAAAAUGAUAAAUUAUUUUGUUAGAAGCUAUUAUGAAAUUGUUUGAAAUUAGAAAUUCAUUUCUAAGUAAUAAUCUAAUUAUCUAUCUAUCUAUCUAUCUAUAUAUAUAUAUAUAUAUAUAUUUAUAUUUAUUUGUAUGUUAUAAAUUUUAUUUCAUUUAAAAUUUUAAUAUAUAUUUUUUUAAUGUUAUAUAUAUAAGGAGUAGAAAAAUAAAUAGUUUGUAGAAAAUGAUAAUUUUAAAAAGAAUAAGAAGAAAUCUAUUUGAUAAAAUGAUAAUCCAAUUUCCAUAUUGUAUUUUAGAUUUAGAAAAUAAAAUUAAAACUAUAAUAAAUAAAUAAAUAAAUAAAAACACGAUCUUCAUGAAAAAUGAAUUAAAUAAAUAUUAAUAAAAAAAGAAAAUAAACAAGAAAACAAGACCUUAUUGCAUAAGAAAUAUUCAAAAAUAAUAGUAUUUUUUAAUAACUAAAGUAUUGAAAACUUUCUACAUUGUAUAAUUUGACUCCAAUAAAAUAUAGCUAAAUUCUCUCAUCUUCAUAAAGACAUAUAUAUAUAUAUAUAUAUAUAUAUUUGUUACUUUAUAAGUUGAUUAUAAUUUUUAAUUGUUUUAAUUUUUUAAUUUUUUUGCUGCCAAGAUAAACCUUGUGGUGCACUUGAAAUGUAGAUUACCAACUUCUUUGGUGCUAUUUUACAAUCUUGGAUACAACAUGCAAUCUUUUUGUAGUUUAAAAUCCUUAUAAACUAGUCAAAUUAAAUUUAGUGGAGAUUUUUCCAACUACAAUUCUUUGCUCCCUGUUAUUCACUGCAAACUGAAAGAACUACUGAAUAUUCACCAAUACGUUGAGGUCAUCAACAGCUCGGACAACUUCAAGAAUUGUGAAAUCACCGAUAGGCUCAAAGAGGUCGUUAUUGACUAAUAUUAAUUGAGCUUCAGCACCUUGAUGGCAACUAAGGAAUCAUGAACUUGAAGAGUUUUGGAAGCAACAUGAAUUAGGGAGACAUUAACAGUGGAAUUUAAGACCAAAAUCAAUUGAUGAUGAGCUCAUUAUCAAGCUCGAUUGUCAGCCUUGAAUCUGAUCUCCGUUGUAAUGAUUUUUGCUUUGCUAACGCUUGCUUUUGUUAAUGUGAUUAGAAUCUACAAAACUUAGUGGUGGAUUUAAGUUCAUGGCAAUAACGAUUACCUCAACCUUUAGAAUACACCAAGGCAUUUCUUUAGCACAUUCAGAUCACUUGUAUAGUAAAAAAUUCUUCACUCAUUGUUACUAUUGUCUGAUCUACUUUUUCUGUGCUUGCCAAAGAGUUGUUUUUUUUCUCUUGCAUGAUUAAAUUGCUUUCCAUCAAGUGUCAAGAUUGUAGGAUGCAAUACUACCAAAAAUACUUACACUUUCUAAGACCUAAAUGGUACACAGUGAUGUCUUUAAUUAUAUAACGUUUUUGUGCCUAGUCCAGACAAUAUGAUAUCUAGAUACCGAGUUGUGGUAGUUUUAUUGUCGAUGGAUUGCCAAUGCUAGUAACAAAGAAGACGAUUGUCACUGCAUAGAUUACAAUCCUACCUAUUAGUCAACCUUCAAGGAAUAGAAAGCUUUUAAUCAAGUUGUUGGUUGCCGCUUUAUUGCCCCGUAACAAACAUGGAGCUUGUCAAGUAGCCCUUUCAUCAAGAAAUCUUAGUUGUUCUAGGAAUUUUGAUGCGGCACAAUUAGAACUUGAUGGAUUCCUUCCAUGUAUGCUUGAUAUGUCAUACAACAGAUUGUUCUAGGUUGGACCAAUUCCCAUGUUUUGCAAGUUGAUUGCUAGUUGUAUCAAAUCAUGACAAAUUUAAUUUCUUGAAAUUGAUGAUUUCAACAGUCAGGUACUUAGUGAGUAAUUGUCAUGGAUGCUAUCUUAAAGAAAAAUCUGAAAAAGAGAGAAAAUGUUGUUAGUAUCAAUUGUCGACAGAAAUUUAACAAUCUACGACAUAAUUGAGCAUACUUAGAAGAUUGCUUUUGUGACUUAUACUUUCUAUUUGAGUUGCCCUUGCCAUUGUUAAUACAAUAUCUUAUAUUAUGUGUUGCAGUGAGUGCAAAAAAUAAAAAGAUUGAAUCGGAUAUGUGUAGAAUUAAGUCAAGAGUUCUAUUUUUUGGUGUUGUCAUUGCUGGCUCAGCCUUCUUGCUCUCAUGUCCCUUCUGCUCAUCACCGUCAUUGGAACUCCUGACGGUAGCUUAGGUCACCAGCAUCAGCACCACUUCCACAACUAGAAAGAGCAUUACGGAUCUCUUGAUUCUUGCAAUGUUGAUCGGCAACUCCAACUAUGAUGAAUAAUUGUAAUUCCACAAACUAUUUAAAACUUGGUCAGGCCUCUAGUUGUGAUCACUUCAGCAGUUCUAUACAUAUGAUCCUACAAAGGUGUUGUGCAAUAUUUGAAGACUCUUGACAAAAUCAAACUUCUUAUUCUGUGUCUUCUCGAUUGAAUGCAUAUUUGUAAUUAGUUUCAUCAAGUAGUAUCAAAUCUUUGUGACAUGUGAAGGUGAAAUAAUUGAUUCUGCAACAAGGAUUAUGAAAGGUGAUAGAAUUGCAUGUGCAACAAAGAUUGUAUAUGAUAUUACAGAAGAAAACUUUAGAAAAGAUUAAUAAAGAACGGGAGGAGAUGAAUUUGGGAGUUGUGAGCACAAUUUGCAUAGGUUUUGUAGAUAAGGCAUUGUACAAUGAUAUGAACUAGAGCUCAGGACCUAAGUUAUAGACAAAAUUAGAAUUUUUUUCCAUAAUCAAGUUCUUCACAAAAAUAAUUGUACCUAAAGAAGCAAUUGUGUAUUUUGCAAAUAAAAAAAAAUACCAAUAUAUUAAAUCUACUAAAUAAAAGAAAAGAUAGAACUUUAUUGCUAAUUACUUUAUUGCUUCUUUUGUUUGAACAUCUAAUCACUAUUCUUAUCUAUGGAAGAGAUACUAUUGAAUUAGAAGAAGUUAUAACAACUUUCUUAUUUAACAAGAUGAAAACAAGAUACCUAGUUGUAAAGCAUCACAAUCACAUGUCUUUUAUUUAAAGAAAUAGGACCAUGCACAAAGAAUAGAGUAGAGGUAAAUUUACAUCAAAAUCUAAAUCUAAGUUUAAUAAAUUCAAGAUUAUUUGUUUUAAAUGGAAAAAGUUGGCACAUCAUGAAAGGAUGUAUAAGAAGAAAAAAAUAAAAAUAAAAUAAAAUAUAAAAUAUAAACAAAGGUUAGUCUUUUGAAUAAGUAAGAGUUUUUGAUUUUGAUAAAAAAAUUGAAAAUUUCUUUAUUAUAACUACUAAAAAUGAUGGAUUUUAAGAUGGAUGGAUUCUUGACUUUGGUUGCUUAUACCAUAUGGAUUGCCAAAAAACUCGCCCUUAUUUAUGCUUCAUACAAUAGUGGGAUUGUGCUUAUGAGAAAUAACUAGUCAUUUAAAAUUGUAGAAAUCUUUACUGUGUGCAUUAAAAUGUUUCAUAGAACUAUAAAGGCAUUGGAUGAUGUUAGGCAUGUUUCCAAAUUAAAGAAGGACCUAAAUCUUCUAUAAUCACUGGAUUUUAUUGGCUAUAACUAUGAUUAACAAGUCGAAGAAUCUCAAAGAUUAUCAAAGAAGUUCUAGUAGUAAUGUAAAAUUUAUACAUAAAUUUUUUUAUUAUAAUUUAUUUGAAUUAAAGAUUUAGAGUUUAAAAUAUACUAAUUCCUUAAAUCAAUUUGGCAUAUUUAUUUUAAAGUCUUAAAUUGACUUAUCUUUUAUAUUUAAUAUUUUUAUUUCUAAUAGUUUACUUAUAAAUUUGAAUAUGUUUUUAUUUUAGUAAUUAUUAGAUAUUUAAAAUAACAUAUUAAUAUUUUUAAGAUUAUUAUUUUUAUAAAGCUAUUUUUUAUUAUUUUUGACUUAUUUAUAUUUUGAACACAAAAUAAUUAAUUUGAAAUGGCUUCUUUUGCAUUAUACAUAGAAUAUCUAGUUUGGAAUAGUAUGUGUUUAUAUUACAAAAAAAUCAAGUUAUUCAAAGGUCUAUUUUUUAUAUGAGAUUUAGUUUUUAUGAUUUAAUAUUAUAAAAAUAUGUUAAAAUAUUUUAACAAAUUUUUCUUUUAGUGUUGAGUUAUCUUACUUUAUUAUUUUAAUAUUUGAUAUUCCAAUGGUGUAGUAAAAAACUUAGAUUAUAUAGAUGUUUCCAUAUUUUUUAAUUUUUAAUUUCAAAUUAGAUCUAUAUUUUUAUUUUUGUAAUUUAGGAUUUUUGUAGCCCAGGUAGGUAAGUAAUAUAGUCUAAGACAUGACAUGAUCUAAUAAUUGAAAAGAUUGGUAAAAAAAAAGGACAAUAAAAGCUUUAAUAAGCUAAAAUUUAAGAUGGUGUAAAUAUAAAAAUAGAAUAUUAAUAUAAAAAUUCUAUUAUUUUUAAUAUUUUUAGACUAUCAAAAAAGUAGAAUUUAAAUUUAAAAAUUCUAAAUUUAAUAUUUAAAUACACAAAUAUAUAUAUAUAUAUCAACCAAAUUUACAUGAUAAUUAUUACCUUUACAUAAAAAAGAAAUUAUAAAAAGAGCAUAAAAAUUAAUUUAAUAAAAAAAUAAAAAAAUAAAAAAUAAAAAAGACCUAAAUAUAUUCAUCUAUCAAAGAAUUUUUUACAAAGAUUAUAUAUAUAUAUAUAUAUAUAUAUAUAUAAAAAUUAUAAAUCAUAGAAAAUUGGGAUCCAAAAAUUUAAAGACAAAUUACUAAACACCUAAAUUCUUAUACCUCAAGAAUCUCAAGUAUUCCUUCUAUGUUUCCACAUAGGAAUUAUCUCUGUACUUAUCUAAAAUCUCCACAGUUCUUGGUUUUGUUAUGGUUAAACAAUUCAACCUUAAAACUAUCUUCAAUUUAUCUAUCAAUUUUAUCUAUUAAUAUUAUCUUGUUUUCUUCAAUCUAUUUUUUACACAUCUAUAUCUUCAUUAUCUUCAUCUUUGUCUUUGUCUACUUUAAUACAGUCUUUGUACAUCUAUAUCUUCAUCAAUUUCAUUUUGUCUGUCUUUUUUAACCUAAUCUUCAAUUCUUCAUUACAUCUUACAACUCUUAAAUACAAUAUUAGACCAAAAGUGUAUAAAAUGAUAUGCAAGCAUGUCAAUUUUAUCUCUUUAUUAUGUUCUUUUUGAUAAUAAUAACAUAGCUAUGAAGCUAUUUAUAGCUUCUUUAUAGUGAGUUUUUUCUAAUAUUAAUUAAACAUAGUAAAUCACAUUUUAAUUUAUUUCUAACUAUCUAUAACUAUCAAAGGUGGUUUUAACCACUUUGUCUUUUAAACACAUGGGCGGCUAAUUCCUUUGCCUUUUCACACUUUUCUAUCUUUUCUAACCUUAUUUAUACUUGUUUCUAUAAAUUGAUUUUUUACACUAAAUUUUAUUCUUCCUUUUCUUCUUUUAUAUUAGUCUAUUACAUUCUCAUUUCUUUGUAAUAUAUCUUCUUAAUAAUAUCUUUAUUAAUUAUUAACACUAAGGAUAACAUUACUUCUUUUCCUCAAAAGUAAUCGAUUCUAUCCAAUUAAGCAUUAAGUUAAGUUAUCCCCUACCUCAUAUUUGCAUUCUUAAUCUUGCUUUUAUUAAACUACUGUGCUGGUAAUUCAUGAGAGUCUCUUCCGUUGGAACUCUCAAGCUCUUAAAUUCCUUCAUGUUCCCUAUCGGUAGAACUUCUUUGAUAAAGCUGUCAACGUUGUCACUAUACAGUUGGAGUCAACUGAAGCACAGGCUCUUCUUCUACUGUGGGGGGGUGGCGACGAUGCGGGGAACGGCCAUGAGGGUGUGUGAUUGCGGGUUUCAUACCGUCAGGAAAUAGCAAUUCUAGACGCGGAAUUUGGCGGUGGAGUCAUUGAAGACGAUCUUCCGUCACCCGGCAGCAGCUCCAAUGCUCCACAGUCGACAUUCUCACUGGUGUCUCCACGCUCUGGAGGAAUCCAUCGCAGCUGAUGCGUGUCGGAGUAUCUACAUCUAUCUCUCACUCGCUAUUCCUAUAUAUAUAUAUAUAUAUAAACAUAAAUAUAUAGAGAUAUAGCAUACAGGAUGUCCGUACAGUGAGGCGUCGUGAGGCUUAACUGCCGUCACCGGAGAGCUUCUCAUGAGUCUGCGCUGUUUUAGUUAUCACACGGUGUAUUUUUCGGAGGAGAAUGCGGCCUUAGAAGUGCAGGAGAUCGCCACGACUUGGGGAGGCAAGUUGACAGCGGGCGGAUCUUCUCUUGCCCCCCGUCCCCCCCCCUGCGAAACGAAGCCCUGCAUGGUUGAGCGGAGCUCGUUUUCGGUCGGCAAGUGAGGUCUGUUGCAUGUUGGAAGAUAGCUGCCAAGGCUACAUAGCCAAAAGCCUUUGAGAACUUGUGUGGGACCGUGUAGAGUGUGAUGGAAGAUGAUGGCUAUGGUUGUGGUUUCAGUUUUGUUGCUUCUUCUUCACAAGAGUGGCGCGCCUGUCCACCUUUUGCAGUUUCUUCAAAUGAUUUCCGGCUGCGCGCUGCACGUUACAUACACCUUGUUCGCAACCCACCUUCUCGCAACCCUGUUCGCAACCCACCUUCUCCGCCCCUGAAUCAGCAACCGCAACCCUGUCAACAUACCAAAAAGUGCAGACCUGGCAGAGAACCGAAUCCUCGAAGCAGAAAGAACGAGCGCAAUGGCCAGCGUGUGAAAUUCCGGAGGGAAAUUAGUGAGGAGGACAGACCUUUGACAUCGUCGAGAGCCUUUCUCACGUUCUGCACACAGUUGCCGCAGCACAAUUUUAUGUUCAGCUCAAUGGUUUGUGUCUUCGAUUUAACUUCCAUAGGCUUCUCCGGUUACUUCGUCGUAGCUGAGCCGGAUGGCUUGGCUUUCAUUUCAUUCUCGAUGAACUUGGGUUCCCUCUUGACUCCCGGGAUAAAUAACUGCAACUUAUGUGCACACCAACACCAUCAGCACCGAGAAUCAUCCGCUUGGAAACAAUAUCUCCUGACUAGUUGAAAAACCUAAAUCGCAAGUAUUCUAAACCCGUUUUCAUCAUCGAGCUCACCUCAUCAAGGAAGCCGAGAUAAUAAUACGGUCAGGGGUCACGGAAGUUCUCCAUGGCGCUGGAAGGCGUGAAUAAUGAAAUUAAUCUGUUUAACAAACGAUGCACCAAUUCAUCUUGGCGGAGCUGACAAUGCGAAUCUCUCAAUGAAACUAGACAGCGAUGGAGGCGGGAGGGCAACUUUGGUGAAAAGCGCUGCGUACUCGCCGCGUAACGCAUACAUCACGAACUCCUCUUGGAGGUACGCGAUGACUCCAAUGCACCUCGUUUCGGGACGCGUUUGCUGCCCUUUCUUCUGCCAUCGCAGGUUCCGAUGCGCCCACUGCAGAUUUGCCGCACACGCGCGUCGACUUACGGACUCUGACAUUAUAGUAAUCGUCCUAUAGAUACUGUACAAAACACAGUUGACAUUGACCGGCUCGGAGAGAUUGAGCACACAAGAUGUUCCGCUUGGAGGAACAAUCUCUUGGAGGAACGCUCCGAACGACUUUGAGAUUAGAAACGAACUGACUCCCACCAACUUCAGGAUGCUUUGCAGGCUCAUGGGUUGUUUUUUAGGGGAGAUAGGAGGUGCCUUAGAAGUUCUAUUCUGAUGAGAAACACAGCUGCAAGGUUUCAAAACAUGGGGACCGAAAAUAGGAGCUUAUGGCGUUGUGGGUGUUCUGCACUACUUGCAAACAGUGGCAAAGCAAGCUCCCCAUUCUGCAACUUGCUCCAAAUCAAACAAUAUAACUAAAGAAUGUUUUACUUAUCAAAGCAUUACUGGCAGUGGUGCAGACUAAAUUUCUGUUUGUUUGUUUUUUGAUUUGUUUUGUUUUGUUUUGUUUUUUUUUCCUUCUUUAUUUUCUUUCCUCUCGCUUUUGCUUCCUACUUGCAUGUGCACUUUGAUGCUUUAAUGGUAUUGUUGGUGAUGGUGUUAUUAAACGUUUAGUUUAUAGUUAUCAAUGCUCUUUGCUUUUAGUUUUGUAUUAUUAUUAUUAUUAUUAUUAUUAUUUAUUUACGUUAAUCAUGUGAUUUAAAUAAUUUCAAAGUUAAGAUUACUAUUAUAAUCAAGAAUUUUAGAUUUUGAUUAAUAAUGUGUUCUACUCAAUUUUGUAAGUUCCUUUUCUUCACAUCAUUCUUCCAAUUAGGUGACUUAGCUUUUAAUUUUCCGCUGUAUCCACAACCACUUUAGACAAUUCCAAAGAUCAUCACAUUUUGAUGACUCUCAGGCUAUUUAUUUUCUUUUGUGGUUUUUGUUUAUUCCAAAACCUACCUACAUCUAAGGUACUACAACCCAUAUGGUGUUGAGAAUUGAAACAAUACAAUAUCAAACAUUUAGAGAAAUUGCACCAACUAUGUCUACUAUCAAACAUUUAGACCAUUGUUUUACUAAAAAAUUGUGUUAGAAUUACAAUGUACUGCUCAUUGCCAGUCCUUAAAAACAACCUCCAAAAUUGACUAUCAAGCUUGACCAAAAUUCUAUUGUAUAGACACAAAAAAUACCUUAGAGUGUCCAAAAAUAAAUAAAAAAUAAUAUAAAAUUUAUAUUGCAAGGAAUUACCUUGCACCCAUUCAAGGGAGGCUUAUAUAAUGCUUUGCCAUUGUGAGUCACUGAAUUGUCUCCCUUAGGUAUUUAGUAUAUAAAAAAAAAAUUCAUUGUGCUUUAAAUCACAAAUUUUGUGAGUUAGAAAAAGAAUUCUUAGGUAAAUAGAAAAAAGAUUGCAAGUAGCAGAUAUGCAACCUAAGGUAGAAAUUAUUGAGACAAAAUUCAAAGAUGAAUAGUUUUCUUUGAGUUAGUUAAUAUUAGAUGAUGGUCCAAUGGAAGUAGCUCUUAUUAUUGUGGAUUCUUAAUUAAGAUAGGAAGCUAAGAAAGAAUGAUUGAUUCAAAUCAAUUCAAAAGAAAAAUAUAUAUAUAUAUAUAUAUAUAUAUUAUAAGUUAGAAGGAACAAAUCAAAAGAGUAGGGGAAAAAAAAUGGAAGAGAAGGAGAGAGAAAGAAAAAAAAGAAGAAGAGAAGAAAAAAGAAAAGAUAAAAAUAUAAAAAAUAAAUAAACAAAAGGAAAAGAAGAAGAGAAAAAGAUAAAGAACAAACAGAAGGAGAGGAGAAGAUGAUGAUAAGCGGAAGAGGCUGUCCCUGAAUGGCGGCAAUCUCCUUGUUGAUAGGAAUCCGGGCCACCCUGGACUUCGUCUCUCUCUGAGUUCUGAUUUUUUUGUGUAAAGCGUUCGAUUAUGGCGGUGCUGUGGUGAGAGAUCAAGGUGUGGUUUGUUGUUGUUGUUGUUGUUGUUGUUUUUUUUUUUGUUUUGUUUUGUUUUGUUUUUUUUUUCCCUUUUUCUUCUGACAAAGAAGAAUAUGUGUGGUGGAAGGGUGGAAGCUGAAGUUGGCGGUGCGGCGAAGCUACAAUGUUGUUCGAGGUGGUGUUGAUUGUUGAGUUUCAAUUAGUCACAAUGCAGUGGCGGACGCGGUCGGCAGUUGUCUUUUCCGUGUACGAGCUGUGCGGUGUGGUGGUGGAUUGCAUUGCGAUGCUGAAAUCGACGGUGCUCUAGAGUGGCAAAGAAGCUGUUGUGGUUGGAGCGAGGAUUCUCUUGUACGGUGUGUGGAGAAGUACCCAACGCCGUUCUUUGCUUUUUUUUUUUUUUUUUUGUGUGUAUCUUCUUGAUCUUACUCAAGUCGUCGUCAACGAAGCUGCAGCCAAUGACUGAGACUACUAGAGCAUUCGGUAGCAGCAAACAAGUACUACUAUGCUUUAUCGGUGGUGCCAACGACUGUUCAAAUUGGUGGUGUUGUGCUGCUCGACGUUGGCGAGGUUGUUGACAGUCCGUGCUCCGUUCCUUCGCGCUUUGGUUCCUGUCGCAAACAACGGUGUUAUUGUGUUUUUCCUAGCUUCUCUUCAAUUGGCAAACUCUAGUUGCGUGCAACAAUUUUCUUCCCUCUAAUCUCUAGUUGUGGACUUGGUUCUGUGAUCUAGUUUCGUCGUUUUCCUGUUGGUUCCCUUCUUGACAUUCGGCGUUCUUCUUGUGAAGACUUGUAGGAGUCAGUUAGCAUUGUAAUAAUAAGUUUCUGGUUUUGGUUGGACUUUGAGUUUAGCCUCUUGCAUUCGCGAGGGAAUUGUAAUCCACAGGUAGGAGUGAAAAUUUCAAGGACAAAUAGAAGACUAUCACUCUGGCUAAAAGUAGCCAUUGGGCUUGAUGAAAUAUCUUUAAUUAUGAAUAGCGCGGAUGCAAGCAAGGCAUUAUGUUUUGUGAGCAGUAAGGGUGUUGUUACGACUGCUGGAGAUAAAGUGUGGUUUCUUCCAUCAGUGGAUAAUCAGAAGCGUUGACAAUCCAUGAUUGCGACUUAUUUCCAUCGAUAGUGGAAUUUGACGAGAAGAUCCUGUUACUGUUUAUCAACAUUCACAACCUUCUUCUUGCAGCCUAGUGGAAGCGCAGAGGAGCCUUCAGUAUCGGCGCUGCCGAGCAAAUUGAAGUUUUAGUACAAGUGUUGUGCUUGCGAUGUAGACAAGAAAUCCUUGGCAUUAGGUGAAGUAUGAAGGAUUCUGGACAUAGUGGUGGCCUCGUCAUUGAGAUCUAGAGGUUGCAUUUGGCUGCUUGUGCAGUUGAGACUUGUCUUCUUCAACUCGAUAUUAUUGGGCAGCUGAUUAUCCAAGAUUCGGUGAGCUCCCAGCGGAGCCACAAUAAGGCUCAAUUCCAAGGGAAUUAGAGCUGUCAAACGCUUCCUCGCACGCACGUUGUUGCGAUAUUGGGAUGUGUCACCUUUGCAUGAAGGGAGGAUCAAAGCUACGAAGUAGUGGUCCUGAUACUAUACUGGCAAGGCGUUUAGUUGGAUCCUUGGAGGUUUAUAGGCUCAAGGGGAUUGCGUUAUUGCAGAGCCGGACUACUACGAGAGGAAAGCAUCGAAAGUAACAAAGAUUUCAAGCUAGGAGCAACCACAAGAGGCAUGCUUACAUAAAAGUAAGACUGGAUAAUUCUAACUGUGGACGAGGUUAGAAGCUAGAUGAGCGCAGGAUAGGUUUGAAUUAGGUUAAAUCGGAUGAAAUGUGUAUGGAUGAAAAAAUUAAUGAAUUAGAUGAAUGUUAAAACCGAAGAUGAAGUAUUUGGCAUGGAUGAACUCUAAUCAUGGAUGAUAAGUUAUUUAUGGAUGAUAGCUUAUUCUUGGAUGAUUUUCGUCAACGGAUGAAUUUUAAUUGAAUAAAAUAAAAGAAAAUAAAAUAAACAAACAAAAAAUUAAAGUAAGUGUUAAGAGAAGGAAUUUCUUUGGCAUUCACUUGUGAGUAAUUUGCUAUUGUAGGUGAAUUAAUAAUAGAAGUGUUGCUUAAGGACUUAGGUGUUUUAAUAAGAUUGAAGAGUGAUUUAAUUAGAAUUUAAAUAAGAACUAUAACUUAUUAAACUUAUUUAAUUAAUUCACUUGUGAACUAGAAUAACUUUCCAAAUAAUAGAAGGUUGUUUAAGUCUAAGAAUUUUGUAUGGCUUUUAAAGCUUAUUCCAUUUCUUCAUAACAGCUUCUUGAAUUAAUAAGACUCAUUUUUAUCAAAGUCUUGAAAAUUGCUCUAAAAAUUCCUAAACAAUUUUGAAUAAAAUUUUUAAAAAAUAUAUAUAUAUAAUUUUGAUAUCAAAUUAAAGAUAUUUUAUCCUACCUUUGUGAUUUUACAUGAUGAUAAAAUUAAUUUAAAUCAAUAAUAGAUUUUAAUUUUUAUAUAAAUAACUAAAAAGAUAUGAUGUUCUUUUUCAUGUCUUUUUAAACUACUAAUUAAAAUUUACAGGUUAUUUAUAAAUAAUCAAUGUAGACAUUAAUCUAAAUAAUUAAACAUUGGUAUAUAGAAAUAAGAAAAAAAUAUUAUUCCAAUUAAGAUAAUUACUUCCAAAACUUAUUAAGAUUCUAUUUUUAUAAUUUUUUUGUUUAAUAAGAUUCUUGUAACUUAUAAAUCUAUCUAAAUUUUAAUAAAUACUUAAAUAUUCAAAAGACUCUCUAAUCCUAAUAGUUUUGUAUUUAAAUAAUUUAAAACUAUAUUUUUAAUAGUCCUACCAAUUAAAAUCUAUUGAUAGAACUUACAUAUGGCAACUAUUUAGAAUUAUUUGUAGUAAUAAAAAAAAUUAUAUUUUUGCCUUUAAUAGAGUCUAUAAAGAAAAUAAUAGAAGAAGUUACAAAAGUUGACAUUACAAUCUAUUCAAAGAAACAAAAUAUAAGAAAAAAUAAAAAUAAAAAGUCUUUGGCCUAAAAAACAAAAAUAAACAAUUGUUUGUAUUUGAUUUAAUAUGGCUCUACAAGAAGCAAUUUCUUGCUUAGUUACUAGCUUAAUAUUGGAUAGCAUCUAUAAUUCUAUGGAAAUUCAAACCAAAAAUUAUAAGAUUGUAAAUCUAUAAAAACUUCAUUUAAUUUAUUAAGCCACAUUAAAGACGACCAUGACUUUAAGAAAAGACUACUUAAUAAUGUUUAUUACUUUUGUCUUGAGUCUAAAAAUUUAUUUAAAAUAAAAGUAAUCUAUAAUUUUGAUUUAGAACUACUAUAAAAUGACUCAAUAUAUUAGUAUUAUAAUCAAUAUUUACAUCAUAUAUUCCUUACAAAAAUAUCUAUUGGUUUGUAUAGAAAAGUCUUCUUCAUCCAAUGUUUUAAAUCGGACUAAAUUAUUAUCAAAGAUUUUUUUAAUAAUAUAAGGUUUUAUCAAAAGUGCAUCAAACUUGGCUAGAAAUUCUACUUUUCUAGCAUUAGCAUCUUGGACCAUCACCGACAUCCAUAGAGUAAGAAGAUAUUUAUUUACUUACUUUAUCAAUUUAUUUAUUUAUUCAUUUAUUUAUUUUUCUCUUUAAGUGGUUUUUAUAUAUUGAGCUGCAAAACUUUGAGUUUUACUUAGUCCUUCUAAAUGCUUUAAUUUUUCUUUUAAAGAUUAAGAAGUAUUAAAUCUUUUGUCAAUGAUAAUGUAUUAAGAUGAAAUUUCAAAUUCUAUAGAUAGAAUGGCUUUAUUCCAUAUACCAAGGAAAAAAAUGUAGCCUUUGUAAAACAUUUGUAAGUAGUUUAAUAACUCCAAAGAAAAAAAGUGAGCUUGAGAUUCCAAUCACAAUAUUUUAUUAAAAUUUCUUAUAAUAUAUAAAAAUUGAUUUAGAACUAUGAAAUAUAUUAAUAGUUUUAUUUAGUAGAUUUAUAAAUAAGUUUAUAAAAAUUUUUAGAAUUUAUUUUUAUAGUUUGUGAAAAAUAGAGAUAUAUAUAUAUAUAUAUAUAUAUAUAAAGAUUAGGUAGCAAGCUCGUAGGGAGAAGAUUUGACGCAUUGGACAUUAAGUGGCAACUUAAGGUUUGUGAUAAUGGAUGGAUGAUAAGGUGCUUAGGUGGCACUUAAGAGGUCCUAGAUUUGAAUCUCCAUAGUAGCACAUAGAGAAGGAAAAAAAUGAAUAUUUUCUAAAAAUAUCCAAUUAAUUUAUUAAAAAUAUUCAAAAGAUUGGCCCCACAAUGCUUGUAUUAGAUGUUUAUAUUAGAUGAUAAGGUCACUUGUUGCCUAUGAGAAGGAAUAAAGAAUCUCUCUUAAUAUUAACAUGAGAUGUGACACUCAUGUCUUGUAUAUACUCUUUUUAAGUGAAAAGAUUGGUAUAUAGCUUUCUUGAAAGAGAAGGAGCUAUAAAUUGAUAGUGAUUGAAGUUUGAUGGUAUCAAUUCUUUGGAAUCCUCAAAUCUAUAUUUUUUAAAAAAAUAAAUAAAAAUUUGAAUAAACUAAAGUUUUGGAUUUAAGGUUUAGAAAUAGAAUUUAAGAUUUAAAGUUUAGAACUAGGAUAGAGUUUAGGAUUUUAAAAAGGUAGCAACUUUCUUUGUAAGGGAAUAUAAGGGCUUCCAAAGAAGGUUUUGUUCUCUUAUAUUGUUUGUAUGAAUUGAUAAUAUAUGAUAUGUUAAUUAAUUGAAGAAUAAAGAAAUUUAGAUAAGAUUUGGAUUUUAUUGCAUGUUAUUUGUUUUGAAAGUAUUUUAGAGAAGGUAGGGCAAUUAGUUGUUGCCAAAGGCCAUGUGCUAUUGUAAAGCAAUAUUCUCUCUCUACAAUAAUAUUUUUAAACCUUCACAGAUUUUUUCAAUAUCUAAAUUAAAAUUUGAUUGAUAUUUUUUGAAAGAAUAUAUGUUUGUAGAUGAUAGGAAGUAGUCUUUUAAUGGUUGAUGGUUGAUAAUGUGGUUAAUUUUUUAAUAGUCUCAUUUAAAAAAUAAGUAUUAUUAUGAAGUACAAAGAUUUUUAGACAAUGAAAAUAAGCUAUGAUAUUUCAUACAAAAAUAUGGCAGUUUGUUUAGCAUCUACCAUCUUAAAACUCAACAUAUCAUAUGAUUCUAAAAUUCAAGCUAAAGUACAAUUUAUCAUUGACAAAUACGUGCAAGUAAAGUUAUUAUUGAAGAAUGCAAGAAAAAGUAAUAUUUAUUGAUUACUUUGGUAAUGCUAUUAAUUGCAUCAAUAUGAAUAACAUAUAGAACUCAAUUCAAUAAGUGCCCAAUAACUCAAACAAUCAUGUAACUUGCAACUUUAGCUAAGGUGCAAAUUCUUUGUUUAAGCAGAUUUACACAAUUGCAUUUUAUUUGGAAGAAGUAGGUAAGGCAAAGCAAACUUUGAAGACUAGUUCAAUAACAUUGCUACUUGCACCAAUAAGAGCAAUGUAGAAAAUUCAAUUUAGCAGCUGCCCAAUUACUCAAUAAGGUAUGUGGUUUUGCAACUCAAGCAAAGGUAGAAAUCUUUAUCAAUAAAUGCAAGCAAAAUAAGUUAUUAUUAAUAUAAAUUGUCUACAAAAUCUCAUUGUAAUCUCAACCAUUAAGUCAACUUAGCCUUAAAGAGGUUGUUAUAAAAAUACUUAUCCUUACAUUGCGAUCUAUCCAUUCUAGAUCCUUACAUUGCGAUCUAUCCAACAAGAAAAAAGUAUAGAAUCCAAUUCAAUUGCUGCCCAACAAUUCAAAAAACUAUAUCAUUCUACAAUACAAGCCAAGGUGCAAACUUCUAAUCUAAACAAAUUCAUACAAUUGCCAAUUUCUUGGUACAAGUAUGCGAUACAAAGCAAUCUUUGUCAACUACUUUGGCAAUGCUAAUAAUGUAUUAUAUAUAGUCUUGUUUGAAAAUGCAUCAAACACAUUAUUGUGGGAGGUAAAUAAAAAAUUAUAAUAACAAGAUUCUAAUAAUUCUAAUAGAAUCUUAAAUAAAUCUCAAUUAAAUCUUAAUAAUUUUAAUUAAAUUUUAAUUAAUUCUUAAGAAAUAUUAAAAAUAUAUUUUUAAAAAUCAUAAAAAAAUCAUAAAUAAUUAUUAAAUAAAUUACAAAGAAAUCAUAAAUAAACCUCAAAAAAAAUUUACGAUUAAAAAUUCUAAGUAAAUCCUAAAUAAAUCUAAAUUAAAUCCUAUAUAAAUUCUAAAAAAAUCUUAAAUAAAUUCUAACAAAAUUCUAAGUAAUCUUAAUCAAACUUUCAUUAAAUUCUAUUAUAUAUAAAAAUAUUAAUAAAAAAUAAUUUAAUUAUUUACUUUAAUUCAAAAUUUGUGCACUUCUUGAUUAUUUAGUUAAAAAUAAGAAAAAUUAACUUAAAGAAGAUUGAACUUAUCAAAUAGAAGAAAACCUCAUAAUUUUCUUCGAUAUUCAAUAGCCUUUUUUUUUAAUCUUCAUGCCAAUUUCCUAAUACUAAUAUCAUUUGAUUCUACCAUCCAAUUUCUUUUAAAUUUUGCAAAAUUAUUAGAAUUUAAGUUUGAUACUAUUAUUCAAAACCAAAUCUCAAUCCAACUAAUAGAUUGCUAUAAAUCUUAGAAAUCUUUACUAAUUCUUCAAAUUCUAAUUUUUAAGAUUUCAAUCUAUUUGAAUUUCAAUAACUUUUAAAUGAAUUGUUUUAUCAAUGUCUAACUUAUGACACACAUUCAAUUCAACUAUAAACCUAGAACCACAAAAUUUUACUAAUAGAUCUAUUAUAUAUAUCUCACAAGUAUAAAUCUUUUUUUAUUUCUCAAAAAUCAAAGUUUCUUCAAAAUAAUCCUAACAUUGCAUAGCUUUUAUAAAGUCAUUACAAAAUCAAAUCCCUCAAAAUCAAUGUUCAAAGAGCCUCUCUUAAAUUUUCUCUCAAAAUCUGCUCUUUGAUCAACCAUAAAACCUUGGAAUUACAAUAGGUGUGUGGUGUUGUGUCUUAGAAUUUGAUUUCAACUUUGGUUCACAACUAGUCCUUUUGGAGUAGUAAUUCUUUAUUUCUUAACAUAAUUUUUAGUUUAGAAUAUUCUUAAUUAUUUUCUAAAAAUAUCUAUAUUACUUUUUUAAUCUACUUUUAUUUUUUAUUUUAUUUAUGGCCAUUUAAAUUAAAUAGAAGUUUUUUAUUUUUAUUUUUAUGAAAAUCAAUAUUAAUACUAAAUAUUUUUACUAUGUUUUUUUCUUUUACUUGUAUUUUGCUCUUAUGUUUUUCAAUAAGAAUCUUAUAUAAUAGAAUAUAUUUAUAUAUAUUUUUAUAAUAUAGUUGUGUUAUAACACAACAUUAUUACUUGUACCAAAAAGAGCAAUGUCAUACAUAAGGUGUAGGCAUAUAAGAGAGAGAUCAUGGUCUUUUUUUAAUAAUUAAUAGGCAAGCCAAGUAAUUAUAAUUAAGACAUGAUGCUACUUUUUUGCUUAAAUUUUAUCAUACUUAAGAUAAAAAUGAGAUUGAUAAGUGGUCCUCAUCUAUGAAACGAAUGAAAUAUCAACAUAGAUAUAUAAUAAAUUAACAUGGAAAUGCAUGGCUAUUAUAGGUGGCUGCUAUUAUAUCAAAAUUCAAGCAUUAGUUAUAUUCAUGGAAUCACUAUAUGAUGUCAACUCUAAAAGUAGCCGUGUGCCCUAUAUUGUAAAUAAGUUCAAAACCACAUCCAAUCAAGAUGGUCUUGUUGAAGAAUAGAAUAAGAUUUAUUCUACAUAGAAGUCAAUAAUAAGUGUAUCCUUCAUAUUAUAGCUCUAAAACAUGGACGUGAUUUUGGAUGUUUGAACACUAUAGAUAAGUUUCCACACUAUGAUGCAAUGUCUUUAGAGCAUUAAUAUUAAAGCAAUGAUAAAUAUGUUAAGUUUUGAUGUUCAAGAUAAAAAAAAAAAUUGAUCAAUCAAAUAGCUAGCAAGGAACUAAAACUGCAAUUAACAUGUUGGAAAAAAAAAUGAGCAACAACAAACAAUUUUUAGAUUGAAAGGUUCUAACGUAAAGAAGAAGAGUUCAAAAGAAUGACAACUUUGAAACCAUUGGUGAGUGGUAUUUUGAAUAAAAGAUAUUAUUCAAUUUGUUAAAUAAUUUUGAAUAAAUAUUUUUCUAAAUAAUUAAAUAAUCAUAAAAGUGAUUAUUUUAUCAUUUCAUUAUUAACUUGAUAUAUAAUAUUUAUUAUUUUUUGUAUAAAUAAUUAAUGGUAGAAUAUUGUGAUGGUUUUUAAACUAUUUUUUGAUCUUUAAAAAAAUCACUAUUUAAAAUAUGACAAAUAAUAUUUUAUAAAUUUAGAGAUAUUUUAUAUAAAUUAAAUUUAAUACUUAUGCAUGUUGGAGUACUAUUCACCAAAAUCUCUCUUUUGUGGAAAAUUCAUUUUUUCUUAUUUAUAAAUCUAACAUUAUUAUUCUCAACUCUUAUAUUAUUUUUUUCUUAUUUCUUAUUUCUUUAAUAUGAAGAUAAUAAUUUUUUUGUAAAUUAUAUAUAUAUAUAUAUAUAUAUAUAUAUAUAUAUAUAUAUAUAUAUGUGUGUGUGUGUGUGUGUGUGUGUGUGUGUCUGUGUGUGUGUGUUUAAAUAUUAAGUCUAGAAAACAAUUAUUUAAACUCCACUUUUUUGAUAGUCUAAAAAUGUGAAAAAUAAUAGAGAGAUUAUAUUAAUUUUUUAUUUUUAUAUUUAUACCAUCUUAAAUUUUAGCUCAUUAAAUAUUUUAUUGGCCUUUUUGUUUCACAAAUCUUAUUAAUACUUAGAUCAUGUCAUGUCUUAGACUAUCCUACCUACCUACCAUUCAAAAAUCCUAAAUAAAAUAUAUAUAUCUAAUUUAAAAUUUAAAAUUAAAAAUAUAAAAAAAAAUUAGAAACAUCUAUAUAAUCUAAGUUUCUUAUUAGACCAUUGGAAUAUCAAGAAUUAAAAUAAUAAAUUAAGAUAACUCAAAACUAAAAGAAAAAUAUAUCAAAAUAUUUUAGCAUAUCUUUGUAAUAUUAAAUCAUAAGAAUUAAAUCUUAUGUAAAAAAUAGACCUUUUAAUAAGUUGACUCUUGUGUAGUAAAAACACAUACUAUUCCAAAUCAGAUAUUCUAUGUAUAAUGUGAAAGAAGUCACUUCAAAUUAUUUAUUUUUUAUUCAAAAUGUAAAUAAGUAAAAAGUAAUAAAAUAAUUAGCUUUAUAAAAAUAAUAAUCUUAAAAAUAUUAAUCUAUUCUUUUAAAUAUCUAAUAACUCCUAAAAUAAAAAUAUAUUCAAAUUUGUGACUAAACUAUUAGAAAUAAAAAUAUUAAUUACAAAAGAUAAGACAAUUUAAGACUUAAAAAUAAAUAUGACAAAUUGAUUUAAGAUAUUAUUAUAUUUUAAAAUCUAAAUCUUUAAUUCAAAUAAAUUCUAAUUUAAAAUAUAUAUAUAUAUAUAUAUAUAUAUUAAAAUUUUACAUUACCACUAAAACUUCUUCGAUAACCUUUAAGAUUCUUCUAUUUGUUAAAUAAAACAUAAAGAAAUAAAGCAAUAACAUCUAAUCACUAUUCUAUUCAAAUAAAAGAAGCAAUAAAGUAAAUAGCAAUAAAGUUCUAUCUUUUACUUUAUUUAGUAGAUUUAAUAUAUUGGUAUUUUCCUUUAUUUGCAAAAUACACAAUUUCUUCUUUAGGUACAAUUAUUUUUUUGAAGAACUUGGUUAUGGAAAAAAAUUCUAAUUUUGUCUAUAACUUAGGUCCUGAGCUCUAGUUCAUAUCAUUGUACAAUGCCUUAUCUAUAAAACCUAUACAAAUUGUGCUCACAACUCCCAAAUUGAUCUCCUCCCAUUCUUUAUUAGUCUUUUCUAAAGAUUUCUUCUGUAACAUCAUAUACAAUCUUUGUUGCAUAUGCAAUUUUAUCUUCUUCUAGAAUCCUUAUUGCAGAAUCAAUUAUUUCACCUUCACAUGUCACAAAGAUUUGAUAUCACUUGAUGAAACUGAUUACAAAUAUGCAUUCAAUCGAGAAGACACAGAAUAAGAAGUAUGAUUUUGUCGGGAGUCCUCAAAUGUUGCACAACACCUUUGUAGUGUUAUAUGUAUAGAACUGCUGAAUAUAUCACAACUAGAAGCUUGACCGAGUUUUAAAUAGUUUGUGGAGUUACGAUUAUUCAUCAUAGUUGGAGUUGCCGAUCAACAUUGCAAGAAUCAAGAGAUCUGUAAUACUCUUUCUAGUUUUAGAAGUGGUGAUGAUGCUGGUGGCCUAAGCAAUUUAAUUAUGCAACUGAAAAAAAAAAAAAAAAAAAAAAAAAACUCUUUGGUAAGCACAGAAAAAGCAGAUUAGACAAUAGUAACAAUGAGUGAAGAAUUUUCUACUAUGCAAGUGAUCUGAAUGUGCUAAAGAAAUGCCUUGGUGUAUUCUAAAGGUUGAGGUAAUCGUUAUUGCCAUGAACUUAAAUCCACCACUAAGUUUUGUAGAUUCUAAUCACAUUAACAAAAGCAAGCGUUAGCAAAGCAAAAAUCAUUACAACGGAGAUCAGAUUCAAGGCUGACAAUCGAGCUUGAUAAUGAGCUCAUCAUCAAUUGAUUUUGGUCUUAAAUUCCACUGUUAAUGUCUCCCUAAUUCAUGUUGCUUCCAAAACUCUUCAAGUUCAUGAUUCCUUAGUUGCCAUCAAGGUGCUGAAGCUCAAUUAAUAUUAGUCAAUAACGACCUCUUUGAGCCUAUCGGUGAUUUCACAAUUCUUGAAGUUGUCCGAGCUGUUGAUGACCUCAACGUAUUGGUGAAUAUUCAGUAGUUCUUUCAGUUUGCAGUGAAUAACAGGGAGCAAAGAAUUGUAGUUGGAAAAAUCUCCACUAAAUUUAAUUUGACUAGUUUAUAAGGAUUUUAAACUACAAAAAGAUUGCAUGUUGUAUCCAAGAUUGUAAAAUAGCACCAAAGAAGUUGGUAAUCUACAUUUCAAGUGCACCACAAGGUUUAUCUUGGCAGCAAAAAAAUUAAAAAAUUAAAACAAUUAAAAAUUAUAAUCAACUUAUAAAGUAACAAAAAAAAUCAAAAUAUUUUAUUUUGAAUAUUUCUUAUGCAACAAAAUCAUAUUUUUCUUGUUUUAUUUUCUUUUUUAUUAUUAUUUAUUUAAUUUAUUUCUCAUGAAGAUGGUUACUUAUUUAUUUAUUUAUUUAUUUAUUAUAUUUUUAACUUUUUUAUCUAAAUCUAAAAUACAAUAUGGAAAUUGGAUUAUCAUUUUAUCAAAUAGAUUUCUUCUUAUUAUUUUUUGAUAUUAUCAUUUUCUAAAAAAUAUUUAUUUUUCUACCCCUAAUAUAUUAAAUUAUUUUAGUAAAAAUUAAAAAAUAAAGUGAAGUAUUUAAAGAACAUUAAAUAAUUUAAUAGAAUAUUUAUGAGAUCAUUAUAAAAACAUUAUAAUAUGAUUAUUACAUAUUAUAAUAAGCCAUAUUUAUUUUUUAAAAAAAGUGAUAACAAUUUAUAAAUACACAUCUUAUGUUAUUAGCAUAUUAGAUUUACUUUCUUUGUUUUCAAAAAAACCAAAAUUAAUUUUCAUAUUUAUUAUCGAAUAUGGUAUUUUAUUUUUAUUUUUGGUAACAGUAUUUUUUAACAUUAUUAUUAAAAAAAACUUAGAAAUUACACAACUUCAUGAAUAAAUCAAUGAAUUUUUUUAUAUUUUUCUUUUAAGUCAAAGUAAAAACAAAAUCAUAAUUUAAAAGUAAGUAUUAUAAUAUUUUUAAUCUAGAAUAUUCUUUUUUAAUAUUUCAUUUUUGUUCAAUACUUCUAUAAACUACAUAAUAAAAACAACUUGUCUUUCUUUAAAAAUAAAUUUUUUAUUAUUUUUUAAUUUCUAAUAUGUAAAUUUUUAAGAGUAUAGUCAAUCAUAUUAUUUUUUAAUUCUUAAAAAAAUUAAUGUGACUUUUAUAUAUAUAAUAUAUUUUAUCUAAGAUUGAAUUUAAAUUAUAAUAAAUUUAAAUAUAUUUUUGUAAGAAUUAAAACAACGGAAAUUAUAUUAAUAUGAAAUUAUAAAUAUAAAUUAUUACAAUAUUUAUAUUAGAAGUACCAAAAAUUAGUUAAUAAAUAAAAUUAAACAUAAAAAAUGAUAAAUUAUUUUAUUAGAAGUUAUUAUGACAUUGGUUGAAAUUAGUGAUUUAUUUCUAAAUAAUAAUCUAUUUAUAUAUAUUUAUAUAUAUAUAUAUAUAUAUAUAUAUAUAUAAAUAUAAUUAUUUAUUUUUAUAUUAUAAAUUUUAAUUCAUUUUAAUUUUUAAUAUUUAAUUUUUUUAAUAUUAGUUAGUAGAUAAAAGAAAGCAUAAAGAUAAACAUCAUGUCUUUUUAACUAAUUUUAUAUAAAAACAUAGGAUUUUUUACUCAUUUAAUUUUUUUAUUACUAUAAACAUCAACAAGGUAUAGAUAAGUAGUUUUAAAUUUAUUUUAUGAUUAAAAAUGAUUGGAGAUGUCUAUAAAUUUUAUCUAUAAUUUUUUUAUGAUUUUUUAGUAAUUUUUAGGAUUUUUUAGAUCAUAUUUUUAAGACAUUAGCAAAAAUGAUUUUACCACUUUUAACUCAAAUCUUUGAUCUUGAAAGACAAUAACUUUUGAGAUAAAAUCUAUUCAUCCGAUUUUUUUAUAUUAUACAUCUUCUCUUUUAAAGAAAAUAGAAUACAAAACUCUAAGUAAAAACAAAAAGAUAUAUUAAGUCAAAAUUAAAAAAUAAAGGUGUCAAAAGGAUAAAAAUAUCCAAGUAAUUUUAACUUGUAAAUCAUAAAUCAUAAAUCUUAAACUAAUCAUUGACUUUAAAAAAUAGCUAAAUCAGAUAAUUUAAGUACAUUGGUUUUUUGUACUAUUGUAUUUUAUAAACACAUCUUAUCUAUUGAUUUAAAACCUAUUUUAAAAGGUAUUAUUCUAAUAAUGCAAUGACCAUUUUCUUUGACAAUGAUAUCAAGCUUGAGCACCUUCUUACAGUAAUGUAAGACAAAGAUGUGAGGCUGCCCUACUCAUUUGGCAAAGAUGUCAAGCUUGAGCACCCCUCCAUAUUUAAGAUAAUCAAAGAUGUGAGGUUGUCCAAUUCAUUUGGCAAAGAUGUCAAGCUUGAGCACCCCUCCGUAUUUAAGAAAAACAAAGAUGUGAGGUUGCCCAAUUCAUUUGGCAAUGAUGUCAAGCUUGAGCACCAACUAAUAUUUAAGAUAGUCAAAGAUGUGAGGUUGCCCAAUUCAUUUGGCAAUGAUCUCAAGCUUGAGCACCAACUAAUAUUUAAGGUAGUCAAAGAUGUGAGGUUGCCUAAUUCAUUUGGCAAUGAUAUCAAGCUUGAGCACCCCUCCAUAUUUAAGGUAGUCAAAGAUGUGAGGUUGCCCAAUUCAUUUGGCAAUGAUGUCAACCUUGUGCACCCCUUUAUAUUUAAGGUAGUCAAAGAUGUGAGGUUGUCCAAUUCCUUUGGUAAUGAUGUCAACCUUGAGCACCUCUCAAAAUUUAAGGUAGUCAAAGAGGUGAGGUUGCCCAAUUCAUUUGGCAAUGAUGUCAAGCUUGAGCACUCCAUCAUAUUUAAGAUAGUCAAAGAUGUGAGGUUGCCCAAUUCAUUUGGCAGAGAUGUCAAGCUUGAGCACCAAUUAAUAUCUAAGGUAGUCAAAGAUGUGAGGUUGCCCAAUUCUUUUGGCAAUGAUGUCAACCUUGAGCACCUCUCCAUAUUUAAGGUAGUCAAAGAUGUGAGGUUGCCUAAUUCAUUUGGCAAUGAUGUCAAGCUUGAGCACCUUCCGAUACUUAAGGUAGUCAAAGAUGUGAGGUUGCCCAAUUCAUUUGGCAAUGAUGUCAAGCUUGAGCACUCCAUCAUAUUUAAGAUAGUCAAAGAUGUGAGGUUGCCCAAUUCAUUUGGCAGAGAUGUCAAGCUUGAGCACCAAUUAAUAUCUAAGGUAGUCAAAGAUGUGAGGUUGCCCAAUUCUUUUGGCAAUGAUGUCAACCUUGAGCACCUCUCCAUAUUUAAGGUAGUCAAAGAUGUGAGGUUGCCUAAUUCAUUUGGCAAUGAUGUCAAGCUUGAGCACCUUCCGAUACUUAAGGUAGUCAAAGAUGUGAGGUUGCCCAAUUCAUUUGGCAAUGAUGUCAAGCUUGAGCACCAACUAAUAUUUAAGGUAGUCAAAGAUGUGAGGUUGCCCAAUUCAUUUGGCAAUGAUGUCAACCUUGAGCACCAACUAAUAUCUAAGGUAGUCAAAGAUGUGAGGUUGCCCAAUUCAUUUGGCAAUGAUGUCAAGCUUGAGCACCUUCUCAAACUUAAGGUAGUCAAAGAUGUGAGGUUGUCCAAUUCCUUUGGCAAUGAUGUCAAGCUUGAGCACCUUCCGAUACUUAAGGUAGUCAAAGAUGUUAGGUUGCCCAAUUCAUUUGGCAAUGAUGUCAACCUUGAGCACCCCUCCAUAUAUAAGGUAGUCAAAGAUGUGAGGUUGCUCAAUUCAUUUGGCAAUGAUCUCAAGCUUGAGCACCCCCACAUAUUUAAGGUAGUCAAAGAUGUGAGGUUCUCCAAUUCCUUUGGCAAUGAUGUCAACCUUGAGCACCCCUUCAUAUUUAAGGAAGUCAAAGAUGUGAGGUUGCCCAAUUCAUUUGGCAUUGAUGUCAACCUGAAGCACCUCUCCAUAUUUAAGGUAGUCAAAGAUGUGAGGUUGCCUAAUUCAUUUGGCAAUGAUGUCAAGCUUGAGCACCUUCCGAUACUUAAGGUAGUCAAAGAUGUGAGGUUGCCCAAUUCAUUUGGCAAUGAUGUCAAGCUUGAGCACCAACUAAUAUUUAAGGUAGUCAAAGAUGUGAGGUUGCCCAAUUCAUUUGGCAAUGAUGUCAACCUUGAGCACCAACUAAUAUCUAAGGUAGUCAAAGAUGUGAGGUUGCCCAAUUCAUUUGGCAAUGAUGUCAAGCUUGAGCACCUUCUCAAACUUAAGGUAGUCAAAGAUGUGAGGUUGUCCAAUUCCUUUGGCAAUGAUGUCAAGCUUGAGCACCUUCCGAUACUUAAGGUAGUCAAAGAUGUUAGGUUGCCCAAUUCAUUUGGCAAUGAUGUCAACCUUGAGCACCCCUCCAUAUAUAAGGUAGUCAAAGAUGUGAGGUUGCUCAAUUCAUUUGGCAAUGAUCUCAAGCUUGAGCACCCCCACAUAUUUAAGGUAGUCAAAGAUGUGAGGUUCUCCAAUUCCUUUGGCAAUGAUGUCAACCUUGAGCACCCCUUCAUAUUUAAGGAAGUCAAAGAUGUGAGGUUGCCCAAUUCAUUUGGCAUUGAUGUCAACCUGAAGCACCCCCACAUAUUUAAGGUAGUCAAAGAUGUGAGGUUGCCUAAUUCAUUUGGCAAUGAUGUCAAGCUUGAGCACCAACUAAUAUUUAAGGUAGUCAAAGAUGUGAGGUUGUCCAAUUCAUUUGGCAAUGAUGUCAAGCUUGAGCACCCCGUCAUAUUCAAGGUAGUCAAAGAUGUGAGGUUACCGAAUUCAUUUGGCAAUGAUGUCAACCUUGAGCACCCCUCUGUAUUUAAGGUAGUCAAAGAUGUGAGGUUGCCCAAUUCAUUUGGCAAUGAUGUCAAGCUUGAGCACCCCUUCAUAUUUAAGGUAGUCAAAGAUGUGAGGUUGCCCAAUUCAUUUGGCAAUGAUGUCAGGCUUGAGCACCCCUUCAUAUUUAAGAAAGUCAAAGAUGUGAGGUUGCCCAAUUCAUUUGGCAAUGAUGUCAAGCUUUGGCAAUUUUCAAUAUUAAGAUCUUUUAAAGAAAUAAGACUUCCUAUUGAUGUUGGUAAUAAUUUUAACCUUUCACAAUAUUGUAAGUUAAGUAUCUUUAAAGAAGUCAUAUACUCCAAUUCAUUUGGUAGCAUAGUUAAGUUUGAGCAUCCUCCUAAGUCAAGUUCUAAUAAUGUGGUAAUUUUAUAAAAUAAAUUUGGAGGUAUUUCUAUAAAAGAACAAUUUCUCAAUUGCAACACAUUUAAACUCCCAAAUUUUUUCCAAACAUCUUUGUCAUGUAGCAUUUGCAAUGCUUUAUGUGCUUCUUCUUUUUUAAAUUCAUAUUCCAAUGGCAUGUUAAGUAGAAAACAUCUCAAAUUAAGAGAAUUCUUUACCAAGACAAAAAAUAUGCUUAAUAUCUUUAUCACAAUUUUAGGUGCAAAGACACCAAUAUUACAACUUAAAAAUUGAAGUGAUGAAAAAGAAGCACUUCUUACUUUGCCAAUAUUAUUAUUAUUUAUGUUGUUGUAAAAUAAUCCCUCCAACUGUAAAUCAACAUAAUUAAGUAUACAAAAUAUUAGAAUUUUCAUAUUAAUCAUACACUUAAUAUACAUACAAAUCUAAUUACAAUAGAAGAUUAUUUUUUUUACAUAGUAAUUUCACAUCAACAUACAUCUAAAGAAACAAAAUAAAAAUUACAUAGUAUAAAAACUAAAAAUUCCAUCCUUUAAAUGUUGAUUCUUUUAUAUUAUUAUCAAUUUUUUACAUGCAAUUUAUAUAAUAAUUUAGUAAAAUUACCUUGUUUGAUAAUCCAUAAAAUGGAUCUAUAUUCAAGUUCCACAUUCUUGUAUAUUUAUACUCCAUUUCUUCUUCAACAAUAUUCCUACUCAUGUCUCGUAGUUGAUCAUGUACUCUUAUAAUUCCAUCUUUGUCUAAUUUUAUCAAUGAUUGAUAAAUCAAUGUAUUUAAAGUAAAUUCCAUUUCAUGUUCCAAUAUGUUAUUUUGAUUAUUUACCCAUAUUCGCAAAGCUCUUUCUUUUGACAUGCCUUGUGGACAAACAUCAUUACAAAAGAAACAACAUAUGUCCAAAAACAUUUUCUUUUCUUCUACUUUCAAAUUGUCAAAGCUUACUCUUAAUAUCUUCCAAAUCUUGUAGUUACUAUUGUUUUCAUCUCCAUCCAACUUUCUUCCCCUUUUCAACUUUUGUAAAGCUCGCUCCCAACAUCUCAACCUUUUCUUCUCUCUUAAAAAUGCUCCCAUAACUUUUAGACUCAAUGGUAGGCCAUUACAAGCUCUUACAAUUUUUUUGCCAACCUCAACGAGUUCAAUGGGUAGACUUUUUUGGCCACAUGAAUGAGUAAUAAACAUCUUCAUACUUGUUUCUUCAUCAAGUUCUUCAAUAUUUAUUUUAUAAAUCUCUUUGCCACAAUCCUUCAUUACAUUUGAAUCUCGAGUUGUUGCAAUCAAUGUGCUACCAUUGCUAGCAAAUAUGUCAUCCAUAGGCACAACAUCUUCAAUUUGACUUUGAUUCUUUAUAUUGUCAAACACCAAAAUUGUUUUGUUCUUUGUUAAAAAUGAUUUUAAUAUUUUAUGAGCUUCUUUUACAUCUUUUGGUUUUUCUUUGACUUGAAAUUGUUCUAAGAUAUUGCAAGAAGUUGUAUAGCAAUCACCUCCACUUUCAAUGCACUCAACAAAGCAUGAGGCAUUAUACAUGUUUUUUACAUUAAUCAAUGUAGUCUUUGCUAUUGUGGUCUUGCCUAUUCCACCCAUUCCAACAAGAUACAAUACCUUCACUUUAUUUGCACAUAGUUUUCUAAUUUGGGAUAAAUAUUGUGCUCUACCAAAUAUUUCCUCUCCAGAUGAUUCAACCUACAAUUAACAAAUUUAACCACAAAUUAACAAAAAAAAUAAGAAUAAUACAUAUAUUACAUUUUAAUUUAGUCUUACUAACUUGAGUUCAUACAAAGGCAUGUAAACACCAUUAAUUUAAAGAAGAGUGAGAAAAAAACUAUAAAUAAUAAUUGAUACAUUUAAUCAAAGACAUAUUUACUUUGGUUUCUAGUAUAAGUCUUACCAAUGGCAAUUCAUUAUGUAUUGGCUGAAAUCUUUUGCUUUGAUGACAAUUCUUAUUUGAUUCUCCAAAAUAUGGUGCAUUUGCCACUUCAAUUCCAACUAAAAACUUUUUCUUUAUUAAGUCCAAUCUUUUACAAAUAUUUGCAAACUUUGGCCGAUGCAAAGGAUUCAACAUCCAACACUCUUGGAUAAGCUCAAUCAACUCAUUACAAUUUGAAGGUAACUUUGGUCUUUCACCUUUUUCAAUUCUUUCUAAUAUUGCUUCCAUCUUAUAAACUCCAUCAAAUGGGUCUCUUUUUGAAAGAAUCUUAGAGCAUACCAUUGCAAAUGAAUAAACAUCUGCUUCAAAAGGACACAUUGUUAUUGUUUCAAAUUUGCUUUUCAAUACCUCAGGGGCCAUAUAUGCAACAGUACCAUAAGGUACUUCAUUCUUUGUGGUUUCUGGAUUACUUCCAACUUCAAUCUUAGAUAUUCCAAAAUCUAUCACUUUCACAAUAGCAUGUUGAAUAACCUUAUUCAUAACUUUUAUCUCUAUGACAUUAACCAAAAUGUUUUGAGGUUUUAAAUCACGAUGUGCAAUGUGCAUGUCAUGCAAGUAACACAUCCCUUUUGCAAUUUGAUAUAUAAUAUCAAUAAGAAAAACAUAAGAUGUUUGCUUUGUAUUUUCCAACAUGUCAUUUAAAUUUGUUUGCAUCAAUUCCAUGCCAAUAUACAAAUAGUCUUUUUUAAAUACUAACUCAAAAGAUUCACCACUUUCAUUUGCAUGACCUUUCAUUGCAAAAUAAUAUGUUAUCAAGUUGGGGUGGCUUAAAUUGGCUAAAAUGGUCACUUCUCUUUUAAAAAACUUGUUAAAUGCAACAUCCAUCUUUUUGAUUGCACACAAAACUCCCAACCACUUUGAUUCAUAAACCGCUCCAAAACUUCCCUCACUUAUUCUUUUUAUGAAUUGAAGACUCUCUAUGUUAGAUGAUAGUUUUAAAUCAUCCAAUUCCUCAUCAUCUAUAUGAAGUAAAUCUUCUAAUCUUUUUAAUAGAUGAUUUGCUAGUCCACAAUAUUCAAAAUCAUCUAUUCCAUUUACAUUAUUCAACCUCUCAUAUACAACUUUAACAUCACCUUCUACUUCAUCAUAUGUUGCAACAUUAAAAGUAGCAAAUGAGAUGUCCUCAAGUUUUUUAGAAUAAUUCUUUAAAAGUAUAUCACUUGCUAUAUCACAACAACAUUUCAAAUCCAAAAGUAAUUCUCUAAAAGUCUCUUUGUUAUUUAAUUGAAGGAUAGCUUCUUUACACCAAUUUGGUCUUCCACAAUUUUCGACUAGAAAAAAAGAUUUAUUUAGUAUAAAAAACAACUCACUCAUUAAAAGCCUAAACUCCAAUCCACCAUUGGUGCAAGUCAUGAGGUGGUCAAAAACCUUAGUAACAUGUUCAAUUUUCUUACACAAAUGUGCACAUUGGUUUUUAUUCAAUAAGUUAUUUUUGUUUAAUAAAACCUCAAAUGCUCCAAUAUAAACUUCAGAUCCUUUCCAAGUAUCUCCAAAAAUACCUUGCAUACUUGAUAUUUUGUCAUAUUUUUCCAUGGUGCUUGAAAAUCUUGACAUGAAAAAACCAUGUAAAAAGCUCCAAAUCGUGAUUAUAUAAUACUUGAAUAAUUCCAAAAAAUAUUCCAUGAUGAAUUAAUGAAAAUCAAAUCCAAUUUCACCUUCUCACCACCUGUUGAAAAUUACAUAUUAGAUUUGUUUGGUAUUUCAAAAGUACUUAUCAAACACUCUUUCAACCAUAUUAUCCCACAAACCAUACAAUUUUCUAUCCUACAAAUUGAAUUUAUAUUUCUAAAGCUAAACCAUCAAUCUUAAAUAAUCCUAAUGGCUUGUCCUCACAAUAUUGAAAAUGUUGAUAUAUAUGUUCACUUGCUUAAGUGAAUGUAUUUAAGCCCAAAUGGUUCUUGUAAAGUAAGACCACUAAUCCUGCACAAAAUAAAGAAAAUUAAAUGUAAUAGUCAAUAACAUAUAGUUUAAGCACUUUUGAGAGGCACUAUAUUGCCAAUUGCACACAUAAUAAUCAAAAAACUUCAAUAGACAAAGCCACCACAACAAUAUAUAGAUAAUAAGAAUUCAAUAGGAAUGUAGACGCAUUGGAGAUGAUAAAUUCAAAGUAAUGUUUUUUUUACUAAUUGCUGAAUGCAUUUAGGAUAUGUAUUCCUAAAUGCAUAUCCUAAGUAUUUUAGCAAAUAUAACCAAGGAGCUUAAGAAGAAAUCGUACACAAAGAACAAAACCCGUAAUUCACUCCCAUCAUGUCACUACAUCACUCACCCAACAAGUAUGUAAUACGAGUUGGCGUACCCAUUCCAAAUGCAAAUGAUGCAUUUCUUACUAGUUGCUUGUUGUCAUUUUACCCAACUUAUAAAGGGUACUUGAAGAGAAUGCACGAGGGAUUGAGGUAAUUAGAAAACCAUUCAAACACUAUUUUUCAACCCAAUGAAUUAUGAGGCCUGUAAGGCUUGAAAUUUCAGGAUGUAAAUGGUUUAACCGUCACCUAAGUUGAUUUUCUCCUAUUAUUCCAAACAAACUACAUAGUUGUUUCGAUCAAUAUGGGGAGGAAGGUGCACCAGUUGAAUUGGAUAUCAAGCACGAUAAGCAAUUCUUGUUGAAUUGAGCUCCUACCUCAUAAAGGAUUAAGAUUCAAUAUCACCAGCUCAGAAUAUAGAUCGUUAUGAAGCCUGUAUCUUGUAUCUGGGCAGGCUUCGAGUCGCUUGCUGUUGCGGAUUCUUCAAAAUUAAUCUGUUGCUAAGGCGGAGGAUUGAUAACAGUCAUGGGCAUCACCACGUUGUCCGAUAAACGUCCCUGCAUCUCGCGAUGCUCCUGACAUAGUGCAUACCAGUGCAAACAGCAAUGGACGGUACACGGUUCGCAUGGACAGUUCUGCAGCAAUGGCACAUUAUACAAAUCAGCCACUAGCCGUGAUUAUGUCAUACUCAGUUCUUUGUCAACGGGAUAUACUACCUGGAAAUUGUGCAUAUACUACCCAUCCCCCAAAGCAUUAGGAUGGUAAAAUACGUGUCAUGAAUUCAUCAUAGACAAUCGAUUUACACACAGAACUAAAAACAAGAUUGUAUGAAAAUAAUUGACCUGGAGGUGGUAUCUCCUUUGUAACUCUUGCCGAAAUAAGCCUGCGUAUAUGCCACACAUCCACCACGCAAAGAACAAGGCUUCUGCUAUGAGAAAGGCAGCCUGGGGAUCUAUUCCAUGACUGCACAGUCAUCCAGAACGUAAAUUAACACAACUUUUGGCCGCUAUGUAGAGCACAAAGAAGGGCGGAAAUUCAUAUUACAUUCCAAACAGUCUGAAAACCAUGCAUGUGAUUGGAUGUCGAAUUCUGAAAAAUAUUCUCCGUUUCAAACAUACAGCUAUAGGCAUGAACUUGACAAACAUACAGUUAACCACAGCAACGAAAGUGACACGGUACAGAUCGAUAGACCCUCGUUCCCGAUAAAAAUUAAAAAAAAAGUACAUUCGCAAAAAAUAAAACAAAAUUGCAUGCAGACCCUCCUAACUAGAAACGAAGUGCUGAUGUCAUAACAGAUCAGCCUACGGUAACUUAAGUCUGAACUGGACCUAAGAAUAUGAAUUUGCAAAGUUGGACCUAAGAAUUGGGAACAAUCAAAAUUGAGAAGCAUGCGGCACACCAACCCGGGGCUGCAAAGAGAUCCCCAGAACGCCAUGAAAUCAGGCAAGUGGAGGAGUGUAAAGGAGUUAACAGACGAUGGAUAUGAGAUGGAAUGAGAAAGCAGGUUUGGAUGGGAAUUGUGAGAUCCGGAUUGCCGCACUGGAGGAGGGAGCACUGUGCAGAAACAAAGAUCGAAAGAGCAAGAGAAGAAAGGUGAGAAGAGCAAACAUACAUACCUGGGAGGGAGGGAGGCAGGCAGGCAGAGAAACGGAAGGCGAGGGAAGGGGCGGGUUCCAGUGCAAGUGGCGUGGUGGUGGAGAUGGCAGUGAUGCGUUAGAUUGCAGGCAUGGGGAAGGAAGGGCGUGGCGAGAGUCACGAGAGGAAUGAAGACGAAGGAAGAUGAGGAGGGCGGGGGAAAGGCAAAGGAGCGGAGGAGGACGAAGGCAGAGCAGAGUAGGGUUAGGGCUGGGGAGGAGAGGGGCAUCUCGGAAGCCGUCAACGCCACAAGACCCAGUGAGCCUCAGCCCAUGAUUCCACCCCCAUUCACACCUGUGAGUGAUCAUCAUGUAGUCUUGAUUUUAUUGUUGGUAUGUUAGUAUUGCCAAGUCUCCUUGGGUCACAAUUUGGAUAAGGUAGUCAACCCAUUGUUGACCACCCUUUCAUUUCUAAUAUAUUGGUUGAUCUAAUUUUGUUUGUCCAUUGACUAGAUUUGCUAUUUUAUUGAUUGGAAAUAAGUUGGGGUUGGUUAAAUUGAUGUUAAGAUGUAAGCAAUAAAUGUAAAAAAUUGUAUUUGGAAUGGAUAUGUAUGAAUUAUCAAUAGGUGGCAAUUGUUGAUUGGUUGGGGUGGAAUAAUAGUAUAAUUAGGUGCUACAUUUUUCUUAACAGCAUUAAUUGGUAUCAUACUUCUCUUGAUAGUAUUAAUAGAUGCUAAACUUCUCUUCAUAGCAUUAAUAGAUUCCAUAUACCAUGAUUUUGUAAAAAUUAGAUCUUUGGUUUUUGUUAUCCAACAUCAAUAGUAUAUAUAAGCUUGUAUAUCCAAAAUGUGUUGAAAAAAAUCUUCAGCUAAAACAUAUAUAUAAAUUCUCUUUUUAGAGCAAAUUAUAUGAAACUACUCAAAAUUCUUUUGAUUUUUAUUUUCUAUAUAUUGGAGUAUUUUUUCUAUUUUUAUACCUACUAGAUGUAUGAUGAAAUGCUUAAAUUAUUAGAAAUGAGUGUUCUACCUUAUAUCCUUUCUCCAUUGCAUACAUUUGCUAAGUUGCAUUGCUUUCCAACCCAUUAUGCAUAUCUUUCUAUAAUCAUAUUAAUAUUCUUAAUCAUUCUAAUAUCUUUGUUGUAUUAUGAGCUUAAUAUGAAUUAACAAUUAUCAAACAUUGCCUAUUGGACCUAAAUAAGUUUACAUCUAUAAAAUAGAUGGUAGAACAAAUUAUAGUGUAAAUAAGGUUUCUAUAUUAAACAAUACUAGUACAAAAAUUGUGGAUUUAACAACUAUAUGGAAAGAGCCUAUAAUAACUACAAGAAAGAAUAGAGAUGGGAUCAUGUAUAACAAACAUGAAGAUUGUAAGUGCAAAGAUGUUACACUAAAAUGUACAAAAAAAGAAAAUCUCAUCACCCAAGUUAGUUAUCCAGAUCAUAGAAUGGAUAUUAUUACAUUGCCAACAUCAAUGGAAAGAAAAAGAACAAAUGAAGUUUACCAACAAUAUCUAACAACUACUAAAUGACAGAAAAAUUUAAGUAAAUUACUGAUAACUCAAAAAUAGAAAAUAGUAUAAGGUAUGGUUUAGAUAGUUCAAGAUGUGAUGAAGACUUUUCAGCUAAGCAAGUUUAGUGGUUAUUAGAUCAUAUCAACAAUGAAGAGUAGAAGUGACAAUGCUAGAAAGUGCAAAAGAAGACAAGGAUAAAAUCCAUGAAACAAGAAGAAAGAUGAUACUAACAACUGAAGCAAUCUUAUGGUCUAUUUUCAAUGAUUUGCAACCUAGUUCUCCACAAAACCAACAUUGUAUUACAGAAUAGUUAAUUACUCCUAUCGAUCUCAGUAGAAAUAACAAAGAAUAUACAACCAAGGUAUCCAACGUGGGCGCUGACCGGAUAUCCGACGUAGGCACUGGAAGGGUAUCUAACGUGGGUGCUGGCCAGGUAUCCAACAUGGGCGUUGGCUGGGUAUCCGACACGGGUGCUGGCCGAGUAUUGAAUAUUGAUGCCACCACAUCAAAUCAGGCAACCCAAGAAGAAGCACAAGAGGGUUCAGUCCAUAAUCAUGAGUAUGAACCACGCAGGGAUUCCGCAGAGUUCACAGGUCUCGACCAGCAACCUCUUACGAAAUCAGACCCACAAACCAGAAAUUCACAAUAUCCAAGUACCUCGCGGAAAAACUCUGGGAGAGUAUGAGAUUGGCACUUUGGUGCAUAACAUUCAACGGGAGCACUCAUCAUCGGAUAUUUAUCCAAUCAAAUCAAAGGAUUUUGAUCAAGAUGCGCUUAUUAAUAUGGCUUGGGUUGAUACAAAAAACUUCGAAAUCUAUUGAACUACGAAACAAUUCGGUAAAUGGGUGAAUGGAUGUAAAAAUUCUGUCCUCCCAUCGUUUUUACCUCCACUGGUCCACUUGGAGUUCUUUACCGAUUGGAAUCCGGAAGUCACUUUCGGAGCAAAUUUUAAAGCAAUGAUCAAAAUUGACUGUUCACUCCAUGGUGACGAUACGUUUUGUACCCUGACAAAGCAUGUUGGUCAAGAGCUGCUGCUUCAAGCACCUCGUGAUCAAAUUUUCCGUGAAUGUAUAUUAGGACACCCUACAAAACCCAGUUUCAAAGGUCUUGGUGUCGACAUACACACUAACACAGCAUGCCGAGAAGCAAUUUAACAUAAUAUAGUACCACCAAGACCGCGAAGAGCAACUCAAUGGGAUUUAAAACUAACUGCAAAAUCUAUGAGGUACCCAGUAGGAACGAUCCUGCAAUCUCGACGCCUCCAUAUAAAUCACCGGGCCGACUUCGUCACUAACAGCUCAUCAUUCCACGCCCAGCCUUAGCAACACUCAAAUUUCUAUAAUGCAAUCCCCAAACGAUACUUCCAACGACAUCCCUACAGGUAUGACUCCAAUGACAAGCCUAUCAUGCGAGAAGACGACAAGGGGACUCGGUUUUAUGGGGUCACAGGUGGCCUCAACGGCCACUCAUCCACCCCAUCCAGGGAUAGAAGGGAGGAGAAUGGUUUCCGCGGCCAACCA